GUCUGGGCCUGGGCCGAGGCGAGGCCGGCGAGCAGCAGGCUCGCGGCGAUCAGGGUACGGGUCAUGGGUUCGGAGUCCGGGCUCGCUCG
rnacentral:tRNA from 1 species